UACAGAGACCUCAAACGUUAUCCGGAGUUAUUGGGCGUAAAGCGUCCGCAGGUGGUUAGUCAAGUCAAUGGUCAAAUCCUCGGGCUUAACUCGAGGACUGCUGUUGAUACUGAUUGACUAGAGGCCGGGAGAGGCAAGCGGAAUUCUCGGUGUAGUCGUAAUAAGCGCUGAUAUCGAGAAGAACACCAAAGGCGAAGGCAGCUUGCUAGAACGUGCCUGACACUCAUGGACGAAAGCGUGGGGAGCGAAUAGG
rnacentral:rRNA from 1 species